rnacentral:rRNA from 1 species
UACGUAGGGCGCAAGCGUUUGUCCGGAAUUAUUGGGCGUAAAGCGCGCGCAGGCGGCCUCUUAAGUCUGAUGUGAAAGCCCCCGGCUCAACCGGGGAGGGCCAUUGGAAACUGGGAGGCUUGAGUAUAGGAGAGAAGAGUGGAAUUCCACGUGUAGCGGUGAAAUGCGUAGAGAUGUGGAGGAACACCAGUGGCGAAGGCGACUCUUUGGCCUAUAACUGACGCUGAGGCGCGAAAGCGUGGGGAGCAAACAGG